rnacentral:lncRNA from 1 species
CUUGCUGGAGAUCCCUGCAUGCUUAAGACUUUCUGGAGAUUGUGAACGGGAGCUUUGCCUUGUAUCUCCGGUUUUCCCAUCGCCUGCUUGAUCUGACAUGACUUCUGUGUGCAAGGUUAGCCUACCAGGAUGCGUUUCCCUCCUGUGAGACUGACAGGACACCGCAUCAUAUCCACACAAAGAGGGGUACCUACCUGCAGAUUCUUAGGCCAGGACAGAAACACUUCUGGCUGCUUUCCAGGCAGACCCUUCAGGUCUUCGGUGAUUUGUGGCUUGGGCUGAGAUAGAAAUGUUAUUUAUUUAUGGCCAUUUCUAUGCUGUUAGUUAAUAAAAUGAAGUUGAAGUAAUAAGGCUAUGAUGUCAAAAUUAGCAGCAGAAAAGAGCUGGGCAUUGGGAGCGAGAGAAAUUGGGAGGACUGAAGCAGAUGUUUUCAGAGGUGAGGAGAGGAUGGCAGAUGCAAGACCUACAUUUGUAUUGGUGGAAAGCCAGGGCACAAGAUGUUCCAUCUAUUCUGGCUUACACGUGACCCAAGUGGCAAUGAAGUGAAAUUCAUCCUCCAUGGCAGUAAAUCCCCCUGAAAACAAACAAUGGAAUGGCGCAAGUCUGGGGGUGGGGAAGAGAUUACAAAUAAAGCCAAAAUUGUCAGACGUGAUUGAUGAAUCACUGAUGGAACACUGAUGUGUUUCUAGUGAAAUAAAUAUAUGUAUAUAUUUU